UGCCUACAACAUAGUGUUAAUGCACCAAAUCCCAUUAUAACUCCACAUUUAAGUGCUCAGGCUAUAGUAGUACUAGGAUGGGUGACCUCCUGGGAAGUCCUAGUGUUCUACAUGC
rnacentral:rRNA from 1 species